UAGGGAAUCUUCCACAAUGGACGAAAGUCUGAUGGAGCAACGCCGCGUGAGUGAAGAAGGUUUUCGGAUACGUAAAGCUCUGUUGUUGGUGAAGAAGGAUAGAGGCAGUAACUGGUCUUUAUUUGACGGUAAUCAACCAGAAAGUCACGGCUAACUACGUGCCAA
rnacentral:rRNA from 1 species